ACUGAACGCUGGCGGCAGGCUUAACACAUGCAAGUCGAGCGGGGACUUCGGUCCUAGCGGCGAACGGGUGAGGAAUGCUUGGGAAUCUGCCCAGUAGCGGGGGAUAACGUUUCGAAAGGAACGCUAAUACCGCAUACGCCCUACGGGGGAAAGGGGGGGAUCUUCGGACCUCUCGCUAUUGGAUGAGCCCAAGUCGGAUUAGCUAGUUGGUGGGGUAAAGGCCUACCAAGACGACGAUCCGUAGCUGGUCUGAGAGGAUGAUCAGCCACACUGGAACUGAGACACGGUCCAGACUCCUACGGGAGGCAGCAGUGGGGAAUAUUGGACAAUGGGCGAAAGCCUGAUCCAGCCAUGCCGCGUGUGUGAAGAAGGCCUUCGGGUUGUAAAGCACUUUAAGCGAGGAGGAAUGGCUGAGGGUUAAUAACCUUCAGCAGUGACGUUACUCGCAGAAUAAGCACCGGCUAACUCUGUGCCAGCCGCCGCAGUAAGAC
rnacentral:rRNA from 1 species